GAGGUUUCAUGGUGGUGAGAUGAAAAAAAUGAAAAAGAACCAACAUAGCUUUUCGUGUCGUUUCCCACAGACGGCGCCAAAUGUUGAUGCACAAAAUCCGGAGGAUCUUGGACCAACGUAAAUCUGGCCGUGAAUCACAUAAACGCUCAAGAACACAAAGAUGUAUCGUGGUUCACCCCAAUGUUUUGGCUACGUUCACACUGAUGUUGAUUAUGUAUGUAUGUAUGGAUUACAAUAGAUCGGCAAUGGAGCUCUCUGUGGAUGCAGCCCUUGCCAUUUUGCUCUCUGUUUGGCUGAGAGGUUAUUGCCCUCUAUACUGUGAGGGAUGGAUCUGAGACCCUUUAUUUCUCUUUGGAUAUGAGGAGAUCUUAAUGAGGGUGAGGGAGAGUCCCUUUUAUAGAAUAAGGGCUCCUUCCCCUUUUACAUUUGUCAUAGGCUUAGGGACGAGGCCCAAAGACGAGGCCCAAUAUAUGGUACCAACAAAAACAAUCAGCACAUUUGAU
rnacentral:lncRNA from 1 species